rnacentral:rRNA from 1 species
AGUAAUACAUAAGUAACCUGCCCUAGACAGGGGGAUAACUAUUGGAAACGAUAGCUAAGACCGCAUAGGUACGGACACUGCAUGGUGACCGUAUUAAAAGUGCCUCAAAGCACUGGUAAGGAUGGACUUAUGGCGCAUUAGCUGGUUGGCGGGGUAACGGCCCACCAAGGCGACGAUGCGUAGCCGACCUGAGAGGGUGACCGGCCACACUGGGACUGAGACACGGCCCAG